rnacentral:rRNA from 1 species
GAUCCUGGCUCAGAUUGAACGCUGGCGGCAUGCUUUACACAUGCAAGUCGAACGGCAGCACAGGGAGCUUGCUCCCGGGUGGCGAGUGGCGCACGGGUGAGUAAUACAUCGGAACGUGUCCUGUUGUGGGGGAUAACUGCUCGAAAGGGUGGCUAAUACCGCAUGAGACCUGAGGGUGAAAGCGGGGGAUCGCAAGACCUCGCGCAAUUGGAGCGGCCGAUGCCCGAUUAGCUUGUUGGCGGGGUAACGGCCCACCAAGGCGACGAUCAGUAGGGGUUCUGAGAGGAAGGUCCCCCCACAUUGGAACUGAGACACGGUCCAAACUCCUACGGGAGGCAGCAGUGAGGAAUAUUGGUCAAUGGACGAGAGUCUGAACCAGCCAAGUAGCGUGCAGGAUGACGGCCCUAUGGGUUGUAAACUGCUUUUAUAAGGGAAUAAAGUGAGUCUCGUGAGACUUUUUGCAUGUACCUUAUGAAUAAGGACCGGCUAAUUCCGUG